AGCAUGGUCUUAGCUUGCUAAGACUGAUGGCGACCGGCGCACGGGUGAGUAACGCGUAUGCAACCUGCCCGAUACCGGGGUAUAGCCCAUGGAAACGUGGAUUAACACCCCAUAGUACUUUUAUCCUGCAUGGGAUGUGAGUUAAAUGUUCAAGGUAUCGGAUGGGCAUGCGUCCUAUUAGUUAGUUGGCGGGGUAACAGCCCACCAAGACGAUGAUAGGUAGGGGUUCUGAGAGGAAGGUCCCCACAUUGGAACUGAGACACGGUCCAAACUCC
rnacentral:rRNA from 1 species